GGGGAUUUAGCUCAGUGGUAGAGCGCUUGCCUACCAAAUGCAAAUGCAAGGCCCUGGGUUCGGUCCCCAGCUCCG
rnacentral:tRNA from 1 species